CAUAUUCGCACCCCUCCUGAAGCUCAAAUCGGAGGAGAGGCUCUGACCCCCGUUCUCUGCCCGAGCUCGGAUCUCCGCUUCCAUCUCCGGCACCGGUGAACGCUCCGGUUACCAGGUGUUGAAGUGUUUUUCAUUUCAAGAAACCAAUGCUCUAUGAAGAAAAAACUAAGGAUGAUGCCCCUGCAUGUCUUUACUGUGUCUUUGUGCGCACACAACUUUGGAAACUAUAAGAAAAUAGACAAUCAAGUCGAAACAGAUUGAAGCAUCGGGGGCCUGAUUGGAGUGGGCUGUACCAGCAUGGAGACUGCUUUUUGGCUCAUCAAAGACUAGCUAUUAUUGAUCCUUCUUCAGGGGACCAGCCUCUGUUUAACUAAGACAGGAAGAUAGUUGUAAUGCCCUGCUUUAGGCUAGUUAGUUGGAGUAUACCAUAAACCUGUGUUUAAUAUAUUAACAUACCCUUGAAGACUAAAGAGGAGAGAGAGAGUUCGUAGCCAUAGCCAAACAACAUUUGUACCAAAGCAUACAAAUUAAUAAUAAAGUGUUUGAAAAUUCAGCUUUC